UACGUAGGGCGCGAGCGUUGUCCGGAAUUAUUGGGCGUAAAGAGCUCGUAGGCGGCUGGUUGCGUCUGCUGUGAAAUCCCGGGGCUUAACCCCGGGCGUGCAGUGGAUACGGGCCGGCUGGAGGCAGGCAGGGGAGAAUGGAAUUCCCGGUGUAGCGGUGAAAUGCGCAGAUAUCGGGAGGAACACCUGUGGCGAAGGCGGCCCCCUGGUUGGAUACUGACGCUGAUACGCGAAAGCGUGGGGAGCAAACAGG
rnacentral:rRNA from 1 species